AAUAUGAACAGUUGAUUAAAAUAUAUCUAACGGACACGAAGUAACCCCUUUUUUUUUUUUUUCUCUACCUUCUUCUCUCUUCGUUCUAUCUCUCUCAAACUCGUUAUUUUUUCCGUCCUGUCUCAAACUCGAUUAGAAAGUAGAAACCCUCACAGGCAGAUCCGAUUUGUUUGUCUCCUUUUCACUCUCGAUCCCUCUCAGUCUGAAUUCCCCUCAGUCUCAAUCCCUUGAGGUCUUGAUUUUCAGUUUCAUACAUCUACAAAGCCCCUCUUAAUCGUCACAUGCAUCGAUCCAAAUCAAAUUAGUGAGGUCAAAAUUAAGAAUUAACACAGAAGGAAGAUUACCCUUUGUCUCUUCUAUCAUUCUCGAUCUAGAACAAAAACUAGAUUUGAUGGCUGCUCGCUUUCGUCGACUCAGAUGCAAUACUACUUACUAGAGUAGUUUCUGCAGAUAUUCAUACAAUUCACACAUCGGUAUUGUCAGUUUCAGCAAAUAUCCCAUUAAUGGUGGAAGCUUGAUGAUAGAAGAAGAAGAAGACGACGUUUUGACCUCUUUUUUUUUGUAAUCUUCUUUUUAGCUGGAGAUAAAACAAAA